GAGGUGGGAGGAUGGCUUCAGCCCAGGCGUUUGAGGUUGCAGUGAGCUAUGAUCAGGGUCACUGCACUCCAGCCUGAGUGACAGAGCAAGACCCUGUCUC
rnacentral:miRNA from 1 species